rnacentral:rRNA from 1 species
AACGAACGCUGGCGGCAGGCCUAACACAUGCAAGUCGAACGCCGUAGCAAUACGGAGUGGCAGACGGGUGAGUAACGCGUGGGAACAUACCCUUCGGUUCGGAAUAACUCAGGGAAACUUGAGCUAAUACCGGAUACGUCCGAGGUCAAACUUGGAGAAAGAUUUAUCGCCGGAGGAUUGGCCCGCGUCUGAUUAGCUUGUUGGUGAGGUAAUGGCUCACCAAGGCGACGAUCAGUAGCUGGUCUGAGAGGAUGAUCAGCCACA